AUGCAUCUGUCUUAACAGACCUGUAGCAGUUAAUGUCUUCCUUCUAAGAUUUCCAUUAGAUGCAAGAAAAAAAUCCUUACCCUUUCUGUCUGUCUGAUUGUGGCAGCCAAGAAUGAAUGGGGGAAUACAGGA
rnacentral:snoRNA from 1 species